AGUUCGAUUAUGGCUCAGAUUGAACGCUGGCGGGAUGCUUCUUUACACAUGCAAGUCGAACGGCAGCACGGACUUCGGGUCUGGUGGCGAGUGGCGAACGGGUGAGUAAUGUAUCGGAACGUGCCUAGUAGCGGGGGAUAACUACGCGAAAGCGUAGCCAAUACCGCAUACGUUCUUCGGGGGAAAUGGGGACCUUCGGGCCUCGCACUAUUAGAGCGGCUGAUAUCGGAUUAGCGUAGUUGGUGUUGGCAUCCGCUCACCAAGGCGACGAUCCGUAGCUGGUUUGAGAGGACGACCAGCCACACUGGGACUGGAGAUACGGCCCAGACUGUUCAAGACGCAGCAGUGGGGAAUUUUGACAAUGGGGAAACUCCUGAUCCAGCCAUCCCGCGCGCGGAUGAAGGCCUUCGGGUUGCAAAGCACUUUAACAGGAGAAAGAACGAAAUACCGGGAUAUCUGUAACUGAUUUAACACCCGCAGAAUAAGCAACCGGCUAACUACGUGCCAGCAGCCGCGGUAAUACGUAGGGUGCAAGCGUUAAUCGGAAUUACUGGGCGCAAAGCGUGCGCAGGCGGUUCGGAAAGAAAGACGUGAAAUCCCAGAGCUUAACUUUGAACUGCAUUUUUAACUACCGAGCUAGAGUGUCAGAGGGAGGAAUUUCAUCGUAGCAGGGAAUGCGUAGAUAUGUUGAGGAACACCGAUGGCGAACGUCGCAGCCUCCUGGGAUAACACUGACGCUCAUGCACGAAAGCGUGGUAAGACAAACAGGAUUAGAUACCUCUGGUAGUCCACGCCCUAAACGAUGUCAACUAGCUGUUGGGGCCUUCGGGCCUUGGUAGCGCAGCUAACGCGUGAAGUUGACCGCCUGGGGAGUACGGUCGCAAGAUCAAAACUCAAAGGAAUUGACGGGGACCCGCACAAGCGGUGGAUGAUGUGGAUUAAUCUGAUGCAACGCGAAAACCUUACCUACCCCUUGACAUGUCUGGAAUCCCGAAGAGAUUUGGGAGUGCUCGCAAGAGAACCGGAACACAGGUGCUGCAUGGCUGCCGCCGCCUGUGUCGAUCGUUGGGUUAAGUCCCGCAACGAGCGCAACCUUUGUCAUUAGUUGGCUACGAAAGCGGUCAUCCCAUCGAGACUGCCGGUGACAAACCGGAGGAAGGUGGUGAUGAUUAUCAAGUCCUCAUGGCCCUUGCGGGUAGGGUCUCACACGUCAUACAAUGGUCGGGACAGAGGGCUGCCAACCCGCGAGGGGCUAUCCGUCCCAGAAACCUGAUCGUAGUCCGGAUCGCAGUCUGCAACUGGACUGCGUGAAGUCGGAAUCGCCAGUAAUCGCGGAUCAGCACACACAAUGCGGUGAAUACGUUCCCGGUCUUGUACACCACUGCCCGUCACACCAUGGGAGUGGGUUUUACCAGAAGCAGUUAGCCUUAACCGCAAGGAGGGCGAUUACCACGGUAGGAUUCAUGACUGGGUGAAGUCGUAAUACAACAACAUCCACAUACUGAUGCAGCAAUAUUGUGGAAU
rnacentral:rRNA from 1 species